GACAGAGGGUGCAAACGUUAUUCGGAAUUACUGGGCGUAAAGCGCGUGUAGGCGGCUCGGAAAGUCGGGUGUGAAAGCCCUGGGCUCAACCUAGGAAGUGCACUCGAAACUUCCGAGCUGGAGUUCUGGAGAGGAAGGCGGAAUUCUCGGUGUAGAGGUGAAAUUCGUAGAUAUCGAGAGGAACACCGGUGGCGAAGGCGGCCUUCUGGACAGCAACUGACGCUGAGACGCGAAAGCGUGGGGAGCAAACAGG
rnacentral:rRNA from 1 species